AGGGCACGCAGGCGGUGACUUAAGUGAGGUGUGAAAGCCCCGGGCUUAACCUGGGAAUUGCAUUUCAUACUGGGUCGCUAGAGUACUUUAGGGAGGGGUAGAAUUCCACGUGUAGCGGUGAAAUGCGUAGAGAUGUGGAGGAAUACCGAAGGCGAAGGCAGCCCCUUGGGAAUGUACUGACGCUCAUGUGCGAAAGCGUGGGGAGCAAACAGGAUUAGAUACCCUGGUAGUCCACGCUGUAAACGAUGUCGAUUUGGGGGUUGAGCUUUAAGUUUGGCGCCCGUAGCUAACGUGAUAAAUCGACCGCCUGGGGAGUACGGCCGCAAGGUUAAAACUCAAAUGAAUUGACGGGGGCCCGCACAAGCGGUGGAGCAUGUGGUUUAAUUCGAUGCAACGCGAAGAACCUUACCUACUCUUGACAUCCAGAGAACUUUCCAGAGAUGGAUUGGUGCCUUCGGGAGCUCUGAGACAGGUGCUGCAUGGCUGUCGUCAGCUCGUGUCGUGAGAAG
rnacentral:rRNA from 1 species